UACGGAGGGGACUAGCGUUGUUCGGAAUUACUGGGCGUAAAGCGCACGUAGGCGGAUUUGUAAGUCAGGGGUGAAAUCCUGUGGCUCAACUACAGGCUUGCGGUUGAUACGGGUGGCGUGGAGUUCGGUAGGGGAGACUGGAAUUCCUGGUGUAGCGGUGAAAUGCGCAGAUAUCAGGAGGAACACCGGUGGCGAAGGCGGGUCUCUGGGCCGAUACUGACGCUGAGGAGCGAAAGCGUGGGGAGCGAACAGG
rnacentral:rRNA from 1 species